GCAGGGGCUAGAACCCAGAUGGCCUGAGUCCCAGUCCCAUGCUCUUAACCACUACACCACCCUGGCUCUCAAGCUUCAUAGGGAGAUGUAGAAUAGACUUACGAAAUACUGACAAAAUAUGUCUCUCAACUCCAAAACUCUUGUUCUUGCUUUGAAUAAUCAUACAGUUAAAGCUUAUCUUGAUAAUCUUGAGUUUAUUGCAGGAAUUGUAAGUUUUCCAGUGCACAUAUCACAGAGGUUAACUCUGUCUUUUUUAACUUGGUCAAUUUUGUCAGCUACGGCUCAAUGGUUAACUAGAUAAAGGAGCUAAAUGGCAUCCUGUGUAACUUGUUUAAUUAGGGAGAUUUAACAGGUAAAAUAAAUUAAACAUAAUUUCAGUCUGCCUUUUCACUUCUCUGUAGAAAAAGCUUCCGUGAGACUUUUUCAUAUUUGGCUUUCUCAAGUAGGCACAGAGCACAAUUCUGGGCAUAAAAGGGCCCGACUGUUCCCUGCAUUCCCCAGCUAACAUGGCCAGCUAGAAAUGCUGACAGUUUCCAGACGUUAUUCUACAUACAUUGGAGUCUCUACUGGCACCAAGUGAGCAUCACCUGUAACAUGCUGCUCCGUCUAGCACUAGCUUUGGCAAAGGUCCAGCCCUAAAUAUGGGUUCCUCUUGAAGAAGCAUUGUUCAAAUGAAUUUUUCUUUCCAACUUCACUUCUACUUAUUUCACCUUUCAUAAAACUGUAUUCUGGGGCAGGUCAUCAGGAGUUUAGCCAGCUUUUAAAAAGACUUAAGAUGUAUGAGGGAGGGAUAUGGAAUGUUGGCAGGGGUCUGGGUAGGAAGGAAGGGUGGGGUUAGGUUUGGAUAAGAGGAGUAGAAUAGCCUUGCAAAAGUCACAGCUGUCCAGAAACAUAACUGCACAGUGGCUGGAUUUAAACAUCAUACUAACACAUGGCUUACUAUGACAAAAAUUAAAUAAACAUAGCCUCCUCCUUUCCCACUCCAGUACAGUUACAAGAGGAGUUCUGCAGGUGGUGGUUUGCUUUAAAACAAGCUAACUUCAAACCAUGAGCUAUAAGAUUGACUUGUUUCCACAAACCAUAGUUACGUUUAAUCACAGUUUAGUAUGUGGGAGCAGAUGUUUCCAGUUUCCUUAUGGCCAUGACAGAAGUGUGGGGAGCACAAGACCAGAUUUUGGGGGGGGGGGGAGCUAGCCUCAUUCCCAUCGGUUGGUGUCCUUUUUAUGACAUGCUAAUCCCCCCUGCAUACAGGCUAUGUAGUGUGGGUUGUUCAUGGAUCAGCACACAGUGCUCCCUACAGACCAUCCGUGUCACCAUGGCUUUGCACCAUCCAGUUUGGUAUCCUAGUGUCCUUCAUGGUGGAACCCAUCUGCUGCUUCUCACUGCAGUUGCUGCCGUUCUUCAUUUGAUGCUUCUCUUUCUUCAUUUUCAGAGUCUCAAAACUUUGUAGUGGAGGUUAUUACUUCCCCACUUCAUGGCCCCAGAAAACGUCUGAUUUAUUUACUUGUCUUUUGAAACUGUGUUCUUAACAGCUGUCUGAUAUGUAUAUUUUUGCUGAUCACUUUUCUUAAAUGUGUCAACUGUCAAAGGAAGCCAGCAAAGUGGAGUAGAUAACAUUCAUGGAAACUGACCCAGUGAGGCUGCACAUAGACUAAAUUGUACACAGUUGCUGGAGACCAAUUGCUGAGUUUUCAGAAAAUCACUGAAAGGGGGGAAAACAGGUGUAUCGAAAGGAUAUCUUGCUUUGGGAUUGUAAUCAUGCCCCUUUUAUUUGUUGCACUUGGUGCCCUCUGCCUUUGCAACAUUUCCUGAGUCUACAGUUAUUCCAGAAAGGUGAGAUAAAGGUUCCCCUCCUUUUUUGUGGGUCCUUUUUGGAUCACUCACCUCUCUUUUGGGGGUUUUUCAAUUAACUCAGCAAUCCGUCCCUGGCAACUGGGCAGAAAUUAGCCUAUAUGCAGGCUUGCCUUGUCAGUUGCCACCCAUAUUUGCUACUUCCUUCCCUUUGAAAGCUGAAACGAAGGAGAUGUGCAGCUGCUUCACAUGGUCUUGCUGAGUCCAAGUGCACUUGUGAAAGACUGAUCCCUCCACCCAAUUCCGAACACGUGAAAUUUUGGGGGGCCAAAAUGAAACUUCAAAGAGGGUGGUGAAGCAGUGCUGAUCAUGCCAAAGUGCUGCUUGAGCACUGAGAGCAGGUUCUCCCUGGCAAAGACAAAAGUGAAAUGUAAAGGUUUUGCUGCUCUUGCCAAGUAGCAUGCCAGCAGAUCACUGCAAUUCCUGAUGAAAUUGUACUCCUGGGUUUUGAUAAUAUGGUAGCAUCAUGGGUCAAUGACUCCCGAGAAUAUCUUGGGUUGUCAGUUGCUGGAAUAUAUGUCAUUGUCAGGAAAGCGGUCUGCUUCAGACAGCAAGACAUCCUCCUGUGGCUACUUAAUUAUAAUGAGUUGUAUAAUCAUGCAAAGCAGGUUUUUGGCAGAAUUAUGUCAGUUGAUCUUCUGGACAAGUGUUGCCCAUUUUACAGCUUAUGUUUCUUUGAAACAUUACUUAAAUUUUCUAGUAUCUCAUAAAAAGACCUAUCUUUUUCAUUCUUGCCCCUGAGCAUCUGUGUAUUUGAUCCAUCUUGGCCAGCAAUGUUGAAUUUUGGUGGUAUAAAAUGUACAUCCAGCUCCUGUUUUCUUUGUUUGUAAGAACACUUUCUAGUAAUGAUUAGCUUUGUCAAUUGAGAUGUGUUUAUACAGUCAGUUUCAACUGUGGAAGAAUUUGCAGAAAACACCAUAGUACGUGGUGUCCAGCUGGUUAAAAGAACUGAUCCUUUGGCGAGGAAGAGAUCAGCAACUCAAAGGAAUCCACUGGAAUUUAAAGGUACGUUUCCCCAAAUAUGCACCAUCUGGAAGGACUACAUUUACAACAGGAUUGGUUUGUGCUGGUUGCACUAAAACUGGCUGCAGUCCAAAGAAUUGCUUACGCUCUUGUAAGGGCUUUGCAAUGUUCCAAUGGAAUACUUGACUCUUUUAUUUGAGUAUCUGACCUCCCAUUCCAUAUUACUAGCUGCUUCGGAAAAUACCUGCAGCAAAUUUGAAAAGCAGUCUGCCAUGAAGCAUAAUUUAUUUGAGGAAAAUAAAAUUAGUAGCCUUUUCAGGCAACUAAUAAAAUACUAUUCAUGGAUUGGCUCUUGGUCAAAGUCUUAUACUAUUUUCCUUUAAUAGUAGUUAUGAAAAACAGUUACAGAACCAUUAAAAUAUGUACAGAGCCGCAGUACGUUACAUGUAAAAUGGCUUGUGUUCAGCACUUGGUUACAUAAAGUAUCAAAAAGGAGAAGAUAAAUAUAUUAUGAACUAAAAUAAGAGGACCCCCUCCACUUACUAGGAAUAGUGGUGUAGCCAUACUUACUUCUCGUUGAUUUGUGUUUGCACCGCUGAUAUUCUUCAUGUGAAAGAAUCCUCUCAGGUUUUCCCACUGCCUAAUCUAGACCAACUUUCUAGAAUGUCAAUCAUUCUGGAAAUAGUCCCUCUGCUCUGCUAAUGGAAGAGACAUGUCCUUUAACACUGGUAUACAUAUUCUGCCUCUAAGCAUUCCUUAGGAAUAGACUGUUAUUCAUAGAAGGGCAUGUGAAUAGAAAAAAUAUUUUUUCCAUUUUAUUUCAGGGUUUUGUGCCAUACAGUCUUGCCUCUCCUCUCAUUUUAAGGGGAAAAUGGAGUGAGCAUUUGAGGAAAGGAAUUACAUGCAGGCAAGAAAUGAACAAACAUAGCACUAGGGCUAGAAGGAAGAAAGUAAACAAAGGUAUCCAGGUGUACAUCUUUAGAAGCAAACUUUUAAUUAAUAUAAGCAAUUUAAAUGAAGAGGUUUGUGCAUUUCUCUGUGGAAGUAUUCUAUGUUAAACAGGUUGCAAAGAAUUGCAAAGGUGUGUCUCUCUUUCUCUUCCCCAACAAAAUUGGUGUAUGCACUAUAAGCCUCACUUUGCAGUAGUGUAUAUUUCAGUUAUUCUUCUUUAAAAAAGUAUAUCAUAGAAUUAAGAACUACAUUUAGCAGUACAAUUUUACAUAUAUCAACUCAGAAAUAAGUCCCUUUGAAAUCAGUGGGACUUACUUCCUAUUUAGUGGGUAUGGAAUUACAGCCUAAUACAAUAUAAGGAAAGGCUAAAUAGUUUUCUAGAAAAAAGAUGACUUAGGAAAGACCCAGUAAAAUUUUAAUUUUCUACAAGUUCUGUCCAUUUACGAAUGAUAUUAAAGAGAAGCUUUCAUCACUAGAACUCAUUCCAGAAUUCAUUACUAGAAUUUUAAUGGCCUCAUUUGCCACAGUAUGCAAAUCCUGGCCUACUGUCAGCUAGAGCCUAUUUGCUCCUUUCUGGCCUCUCCCAGAAAUACAAAAUUGCGACAUUUAAACCUGGAAUUGGGGUUUAUUACCCUCUUCAUGAGCCAGGAUUUGGAAGGCAAGAAUGCACUUUGAUUUAACAUUUUGACUUGUAAAGGGUACAGCAAGCCAGGAUCAAAGUUUUGAAUGUAAACUUAGGAGUUCAGAUUGGUUUUGCUGCUUGUGCUCACCAGAGGAGCAGAGCAGGUGCAAACUGUUUGAAUUGCAUGCACUGUAUUCUCAAGUACGCCAGAAUCUGCUAACCUUUAGCAGUCUUUGCACUUUGCAGGCAUUAAAAUUGACUAGCAGUAGAAUUAGACUGGGACGAGCCUGAAUUACAGGGUAUAUUACCACAGGCUUUAAAAUGGGCUAAACACGUUCCUGUAGGAUCAGUGGCUCUUCAACUAACGUAAGUGUACAGAGGUGUGUGCCUGUAAGUUCCUCAUGUUUGAUACUGGAACAUAAGACAUUAUUUUAUAGGAUGUGAGAAGAGGAAUUUUGUGGGUCCCUAGACCUUUUUAAACUUCUUUUUCUUUGUAGCACUUAUAAUACUGAUGUGUACAGUGUCUGUUUUUUUUUUUAAAUCACUCUUGCCUGUGGCCUGGUGAAACAACCAUGAGCAACCUACAGUUCUUGGUUCACAUGUACCAACCAUUCAUGGCUUAAAUGAUCCAGAAUUUACAAACUAACAAUAAACCAUAAGUUCUGUUCAAAGAUUGUUCAUGGUUAACAAUUCAUAAUUUACAGGUCUCCCAACCUACAUAUGAACCAGUUCAUUGGCACCCUGUAAAGGUAGGCAGAAUGAAAAAAAAAAAGCAAGCACAAUUAUGUUUAUUCAUAGGAAAUGCAUGGGCAUGUUACAUGUUUGUGAAAUUGGGCAUGUUACAUGUUUGAUUCCUCUUCACCCAAAUAAUAUUAGAACAAGGACAUGUCCAAUGAAACUGACACAAUAUUCAGGGCAGAUAAAAUAAAUUACAUCUUCACAAAGGGCCUAAAUGGGACUUCCAUAUUCAAAGGUAACAUGCUAUGGAAUACCAGUUGUAGAAAGAGCAAGAACUGCAGAAAAACAUUUCCACCAUUAUCCUACCUGUGGACCUAUUCAAGAAGCAUUUGGUUGUCUACACUGAGAAAACAGGAUGCUGGAAUAAAUGGACUUCUGGUCUGUUCCAGCAGUGCUCUUGGUACGUUAUUACUAUUCCUAGCCGUCAUAGAUCCCUUCUCUCCACUGAUUAUUUCAAAACUAGGUUUGUGAUAGCAUUUGAACCAGAACUUUGCACUGAAUGGCAAGCUUAAUGAUAAUGGGAAAUCAGUGGUCCCAUGCAACAGUCCUCGUUAUUGUCCAGCUAAGAACUUGAUUGGAAACUAACCAUGAGCCCCAUAGUCACAAACUUCAAAGUAUUGUUUAAAAAUAAAUUUAGGAACAUUCAUGUUGUGGUAAUGGUUAGGACAAUGUACAGUUUUUUUAGAAGUGGGCUUUAAAGCCACAUUCACUGACUGCUAUAGCAUCCAUGCAGGACAAUCUCAACUCUUGGGGGCAAAACCUAAAUUAUGAAGGGUUCACCCUUUCUUCAUUUGCUGUGAUAAUGAUGAGUCUACUAGUCACAUGUUGAAAAACUGGGCACAACCUGGAACAUUCUUAAAUUUUUUUAAACAAAAGCUGCAUUAGAGCAAUACUUCUAACAAUGCUGGGAAAUCUUACAGAGAGAAAUUAACAAUCCCGCCUCCGCCCCGACAGCUGCCCUGCGGGGCUUCUGUGUUUCCAGAAAUUUUGCAUCUUUAGUUCUCUUCCUGUUAGAAAUCAUCUUAGUGCAGUAAAGGCCAGGUAGCAAUACAUGAAUAUCCUGUCUUAAACAUGCUGCUCAUCAUUUUCCAGAAUUGGUCAUUUUUUUCAGUAAGACCCCCUCCCCCCCCAAAAAAAGAAAGGCCAUGACAAGGGUAGGGAUGGAGGAAAAACUUUUCCCUUUUUUUCCUGAUCCUUCACGUGAGUGGGAAAUUCAGAAAAAACUCUCAGUUUGUUUUUUUCCAGUCCCUCAUGCUAAAAGCAGAAGUUUACACUGACAUAGCUGAAUGGUGGCUGAUGCGGCUCCCCCCUCUUCGGCAUUGGUCAGCACUUGGGGAUAUGAGAGUACAUUGCAAAGCUAUGCUGGUGGGAAGGAAUUUUCAAAUAAAGGUAAAAGGUUCUGACUUUACACAUGUACCAAAAAUUAAAAAUUCUUCUCACUUGAACAAUAAUAGAAAUGUUUUAAAAAUCAGAAAACAAAUUCCAACUUUUGUCAGCAGUUAACAUGCAAUGAAAGAGAGGCCCACAAGGUGCUACUCAUGUAAAUGUCUUGCAGAUAUGGACAAGUCCCAGACCAACAUUUGCAGGUAAGGAAAAUGUGUACGCUUUUUCAGCACUUUCAUGAAUUUGUCUUACAUCUUGCUUUGGUGUGGAUUUGUAUGGUAUACAGAUGUUCAGCAUUAUAUUUGCAUUUAAGUGGGAUGAAAGUAUUAGAGUGGAAUAGGCAGGAAUCCAGUGACAGCCAGUGUGUUCCAGGAUUGCCACUUCUCUUUUGUACUAGGUAAAAACCUGGCCUCUGUAUAAAAUGAUGAUAGUUCUGCCUUAUGCUGUCUGAUCAUUUAUGCCAGAGCAAUAUAUUAAGAGGCGUUUCAAGGGAGAACGACUCUUUUGUAAUCUGUUAUUAGGGCUGUGUGCAUAUUGGGAAUGCUAUCCAUAAUACUGAAAAGUGUAUAAUCGUGGGUGUGUAAUUCAAUUAUCUGAAUUCAAUUACCUGAAAAGCUCUUGAGUGUUAAAAAAGAAAGUUUCCAGCCCUUAUGACAGUUUCUUCAAAUUGUUGCUGUUCCUAUGACUUGGACUACCACUUCCAUGCUCCCCAGCUAGCAUGCUGUAGUUCAACAGGACUAGAAGUUACCUAGGGAGGGCUGCCUUGUGACAGCAAAGAGAUACUUAAGAGUGCACAAGCAAUACCAGGUAAAAUUUCAAAAGAGUUUGCUGGAUGAAAGUUCUAAUGCCCAAGGUGUGAGAUUUUGUGCCCUCUCUAGCUUUUCGCCUUGUAGUUAGAAAAAUAAACUAUUCUUGUUUGCCUAACAUAUGGCCUAGAAUUUAGGUUAAGGUGCAAUUUUAAUUUUUAAAGAAAGAGAAUAUGUGUAAGUCUUUUUACUAUACUUGAUGCUUUUUGGGAGAUGCUUGAUCAUUAGUGCAAAGUGCUCCAUUUUUGUAAAAAAAAAAUUAACAUCUGGGCCUUGUUCAAGGUGUUGCUUACAUAAUUGCUUUGGCAGAGGGGUUUAAGUGCAUGCUUAAUGUUUAGUGGAUAAUACAGCCUCACAAUCCACAGUGCUGUCUAGCUUGUUUUAAAGGGGUCAAUCAUGCUUUAUUUCAUUUGUCUGGUGCUAUGUAUUGAUGGAGAAUGGAACAAUCAAUGAAGUGAUCCACAGCUUGCUGUUGAAACAAAUCUAGUAUAAAUUUUGUCUAGUAAUUGAAGGUAAUUAUCUUCCUUCCUUCCUUCAGUUGUUCUUUGACUGUGCCCACCUAUCUCUUCCAAAAAAAUGUUUUAAAACGUGUCAGUGCUCAGGCUUGCUUGUUUGAAAUCUGUACCACCUAAGCUCUUGUUAGCUUUGAUACCUGUACAGAACAAAGUAGGACUUACAAACUCUUUUGCAAAGUGGAAGGACACAAUAGAAAAUUCCAGGGUUUCUUAAUAGCUAUAUAUGUAAUCUGUAUAGAGAAAAUGGGUAGUUUAUAUUAGCUUUCCCUAAGCUUGUGCUUUCCAGACACGUUUUGAUGGCAACAUCCAGAAUUCCCAAUCAGUGACCCUACUGGAUGGGAAUUCUGGGAGUUGUGAUCUAAAUAUCUCUGAAGGCACCAGGUUGAGGAAGGCUGGUUUAUAUGACGUGGAAAAAGACAGAGUGCCCCAUCCCCACCUAUGGUAGCUCAAACAGCAUCUAGGAUUGUGGAAAGCUUCCUUAGCCUGAGGCAGGUCCUUCUUCCACCUGGCCCAGUAGUGUCAUCAUGGUCUCAGGAAGGAGUUCUUCUGGCCCUGCAUGAAGAUUCCAGGAACUCAGCCCAACCUCUUCUGCCUUCAAAGCAGAUGCUCUACCCCUGAGCCGUGGGUCAUCCCUUAAGUGUGUUAGGUAGCAUUUUGUUCGCUAUACACAGUGGAUCUACCUGGAAAGUGAGCCUAGCCAGUAUGGUAAAGCUUUCCUAAGCACCUGAAGGUGCUUAUACGGAGCAAAGACAAUUUCACUUAGGCUUAGAGUAACAUGGUGCCAAUCUUGCUUUCUACCUGUGAUGUGUCUGUUUUUCCUCCUCUCAAAUGAACACACCAAAUUUUCAGAAAAUGAAAGAUCUCAUUGCAGAGUGUUAUUUAAUGGUAUUGAACCUGACCUUUCCCCACAAAAGCUAAUUUUGCUACACUGCUUUAUAUCCACUGCAUUUAGAAGGUUGCACUGCUAAUUUUGGGAAAUAGUAUUUAUACUUGAAGUUCACCCAUUCUGGGCCUGGGUUAAAGAUAACUUAUGUUUUGGGAUUUCCCUUUGUUAUCUGUCAAGUCAGAAUCAGUGUACUUUAUUUAGCCUUCCUAACCUGUAUGGAAAAUAAUUAAAUUGAUGGUUGAAGAGUAAAAAGCAAAAGGUAUGAUGUCUUUGUGUGCUUUAAGCUUUAUAAAAGAUAAGUGGCAUUGAAAUUCUUAUCUUUGUAUUGUUGAUGAAGAUCAGGUUUGUUUCUGUAAUGCCAAUGUCUUGCUUAUGCUGUGAAACCCUGACAUUUCAGAAGUGUCAUGUGAGGAAACCAGAAAGGCCCCUCUGGGGAUACUGUGUGGCACACUCCUUCUGGUGGCUCUGUGAUCAUGGCAAGACCAGCUUGAUGACAUCACCUAGACCUGGAAAGACAAACGGGGGUAAGUUAGCCUGCUUGGUUGAGUACUUGAAGGGUGUCCUCUUCCAUCCCACCGUAGCACCAUAAGGGUUGACACGACCCAGGGCCAAGGAAAAGUCCAUACACAAUCCAGAUUCCUGGCUAUAAGGAGGAAAGGAGUGUCAGGGGAGGCAUCACAGAGCAUGUGCUGAGGCUCCCGCAGUGGAUCCACUACCAGCUUUCAGUGCUUCCUGACCAUGUUGAGACAUCCUGCUAUUGCAGCAGCUACCUGCCUUCUUCAAGUAGGCAGGUGGGUAAUGGCAGGAAAAGCCUUUGCUCCCCUUGUCCUCCUUAAGUGCUGAGGUUGACUGGGCCCAGAUGGACAGUAGCAAUCUGAGAAGCGGGGCUCCUUGGAGAGUGGGAGCUGGCACAUUUUGUCCAAGUGUCCCCCAGAACCUGGCGUUGACAGUGUCUAAGGACUAGCGUUAACCGUUCCUGCACUGGGCAAUGUCUAGCCAAGCGUGACAUGGGGUAUUUGCUUCUUGCCUGUCUCCACGUGUACGUGUACACAUUGCACAGCUGCAGUUGUGUGCACCGUAUCAUUCAGUCAUAGCCAAGUAUGGCUAGAGUGAUGAAUGGAACCCUAGGGAUUCAGUUGAAUCCCACCUAGACAAGGUGCCCCUGGUGGCCUUAGGCCACUCCAACCUCUCAGUCUGUUUCUUAUGAGAAUAAUAGUAGCUACGAGAUAAUGGUGGAGGCAAUUAAAUCUGCAGGGCAUCUUGUAUAUGUUUGAAUUUCCAUUGAAAAUACAAACAAAACAUUUGACCCUUUCCCCAUAUGUAGAAAGGUAAUGCAGGUAAGAAGGAUUCUUCUGACUCCCCAGGCAAGUAGUUUUUGGAUGUGGGCAGCACUGAAAGCUGUUCUAUCCAUCCAUAUGCUUAAGUGGCAUGUUUCUCACUGUUCUUCUUCUAAAUGUGCAGAUCACCCCUAGAAAAAGUGAGGUACGUGCCUUACAGUAGUUAAAGGUGAAAGCUUUGAAUCCCCAGCCUCUUAGGUGUAUGUGCACUUCUGAUGUUACCAUCAGGUGGAAGGACAGAAUGUGUCUACAUUCAGUGGCCCUAGCAUCACAUGAACUGGAGAAAAGGUCUAAAAUGAGGGUGGGGCUGCUUUAUACACACACAAAUCUGGAACCUCAAUUGUGCAGAGUUGUGAAUUAUGCAAGAGCAUCCAUGCCUAUGGAGUUCGGCUUUUCUUUCUGGGUCUUCCUUCAGAACAAGGGUAGGAAUGAGCACUCCCGCAGCAAUGGGCACUGUCAGGCAUAGACUGAAGAGAAACCAGAAUAUAGCGUUAACUGCCUUUGGGUCUCAACUUUUUUGUGUGCUGUUUUUGUUUCAUUUUGGGCAUCUGUGAGGUGUCUAUGUACAAGAAUUGGUGAUGCAAAAAGGAUCUAGAUUGUGACUGUUCAUCUUGAAAGACAGAACGUGUUCCAGUGGAAUUGUUGUUAAUUCAUUCCACACUGUAUGUUUACCAAAUUACCAGGUGGGUAUAGUAAAUACAGCAAAGACAUAAGAAUUCAUUGGAAAAUCUAAAUGCCCUUGAUUUUGUUCGCUUGCUCUGCCUUGUAAAUGGUUGAUUUCCCUUUUAAUAAACACUUGUGCAAAGUGA